GCCCAGGGUGCAGAAGGCGUGACUAAAAAACUAAAGUUAGUUGAAGCAGAGCUGGCAAAGUUAAAGAUAAAGUAUGCUGUAAGUUAUUUGACUAAUUUCAUGGAGCUGGAACAUUCUCAAGAGAUAAAGAAUAAGCAGCUUAAACAAGCGAAGGACAAUCGAAAAAUGGCUCUGAACAAGAAGGACCAAAUAAUCGAGGUAAAAAAAGUUUUAGAAAUAUCAAGAAAGUGCAAAAUUCUCUUCUUAACAAAACAUUGAUUGAAAUUGUAAAAAAAAAAACAGCUUAAGACUUUGUUUAUAAAACACAUUUUUUUUCCUCUAGCUUCUAAAACGGGAGCUUCAAGAAUUAAGAAAAGCAACAAACAAUUGAAAUAAAUCAGCCAAAUGUUCCUCAUUCUUCGAGGACUCCCUUUUUAAUUACCCGAGGCACUCACUUGGAUGGCUGCCUGGUCGUGCGGUUUGCGCGCUGGACUGUCCUUCGGAUUUAUCGACGGUCUAGGGUUCAAACCCUGCCCGCUAUCAUCCCCCGUCGUCCUGCGGGAGGUUUGGACUAGGAAGUAAACUAUCUUCAACUCUGAAGGAACAUCCGAAACAUGUAAAACAAAACAAAACAAGCCUGUCAUUUUGUUUAAGACUAAUGCAAGUCCUUGGAAAUUGUUUGUAAGGAGGAA